rnacentral:lncRNA from 1 species
AUCGCGCAACAAAUCGACCUUCCUUUAGCAACUUCCCCUGAAAAUUAGUUGGCAACAGUGAUUUCAAAACGAAAAUGUUAUUGCAGCGACUAGCAGUUUGAAACACUGCUUUUUAACAGUAUAGUGCUUGCAGAUUGAAAGCGUACGUUGUGUUAACAGAGGAACAAAUACCCUUAACAAUCUCACUGAGAAGAUGUCAUCGGAUGAAGGGGAACAAAAUAGUCCAGUUUUACCAAGAGAUUUAGACAGAGGCAGCUCUGUUUCCUCUGCACUUCAGGAUGAGUAUGAAGAACUUCUUCGGUAUGCUGUUGUGACUCCUAAAUAUGAACCGAGUUUCCCAUCACAGCCAUUGAGCACAACUCAACUCUCCAAGAGUUUGCAGCACAUGACUCUCAACCCCCUGCUGAUAAUGACGGGCACGUAA